AUGGAAAAUUGCAUUUUUGGAAUUUGCAAUAAUGCGAUGGGAGAACGACGGGAAUUGAACCCGCGCAUGGAUUUUUUGCUUUUUUCCAUUGAUCAUUAUUCUAUUUAUCCUGACCUCCGUACUUCGAUCGAGAUAUUGGACAUAGAAUGCCACUCUUUAAAAAGGAAAAAAGGAGUAAUCAGCCGUGACACGAAAAAAAACGAAUCCUUUUUUAGCUCAUCAUUUAUUGGCAAAGAUAGAAAAGGUCAAUAUGAAGGAGGAGAAAGAAACAAUAGUAACAUGGUCCUAGGCAUCUAG
rnacentral:rRNA from 1 species